AACGAACGCUGGCGGCAUGCCUAACACAUGCAAGUCGAACGGGAGCACAGUGAGAGCUUGCUCUUACGGGUGGAGAGCGGGGGAAGGGUCACGUAUAUACCGGAAUACUCCCUUUCGGGGGGGCUAAUGCAGGGAAACUUACUCUGAUAACGGAUAUGACGCACGGGUGAAAGCAGGGGAUCUUUUGACCUUGUGGGAGUGAAAGAGCCGAUGUAGGCUUCGCUAGUUUGCGGGGUAAAGGCCCAGAAAGGCGACGAUCCGUAGCUGGUCUGAGAGCGUGGUCAGCCACCCUGGAAGUGAGCCAGGGUCCCGACUCCUGCGGUAGGCAGCAGUGGCGAAUAUUGGACAAUGGGCGAGAGCCUGAUCCAGCCAUACCGCGUGGGUGAAGAAGGCCUUCUGGUUGUAAAGCCCUUUUGUUGGUAGGGAGAAGCAGCAGGUUAAUCCCCCGCGGUACUGACGGUACCCGGAGAAUAAGCACCGGCUAACUUCGUG
rnacentral:rRNA from 1 species